rnacentral:ncRNA from 2 species
ACAACAAACAACACAUACCCGCUGG